rnacentral:rRNA from 1 species
AGACCCGAAACCCGGUGAUCUAGCCAUGGGCAGGUUGAAGGUUGGGUAACACUAACUGGAGGACCGAACCGACUAAUGUUGAAAAAUUAGCGGAUGACCUGUGGCUGGGGGUGAAAGGCCAAUCAAACCGGGAGAUAGCUGGUUCUCCCCGAAAGCUAUUUAGGUAGCGCCUCGUGAAUUCAUCUCCGGGGGUAGAGCACUGUUUCGGCUAGGGGGCCAUCCCGGCUUACCAACCCGAUGCAAACUGCGAAUACCGGAGAAUGUUAUCACGGGAGACACACGGCGGGUGCUAACGUCCGUCGUGAAGAGGGAAACAACCCAGACCGCCAGCUAAGGUCCCAAAGUCAUGGUUAAGUGGGAAACGAUGUGGGAAGGCCCAGACAGCCAGGAUGUUGGCUUAGAAGCAGCCAUCAUUUAAAGAAAGCGUAAUAGCUCACUGGUCGAGUCGGCCUGCGCGGAAGAUGUAACGGGGCUAAACCAUGCACCGAAGCUGCGGCAGCGAACGUAUCACCCAAGACAACUUUGCACAGUUGACGAUUGACGGAGCGGAGCGACGUCAAAGCGUUUCACAACGUCGAGUUGGCUUAGGGAUACGUUCGUUGGGUAGGGGAGCGUUCUGUAAGCCUGCGAAGGUGGCCUGUGAGGGUUGCUGGAGGUAUCAGAAGUGCGAAUGCUGACAUAAGUAACGAUAAAGCGGGUGAAAAGCCCGCUCGCCGGAAGACCAAGGGUUCCUGUCCAACGUUAAUCGGGGCAGGGUGAGUCGACCCCUAAGGCGAGGCCGAAAGGCGUAGUCGAUGGGAAACGGGUUAAUAUUCCCGUACUUGGUGUUACUGCGAAGGGGGGACGGAGAAGGCUAUGUUGGCCGGGCGACGGUUGUCCCGGUUUAAGCGUGUAGGCUGGUUUUCCAGGCAAAUCCGGAAAAUCAAGGCUGAGGCGUGACGACGAGGCACUACGGUGCUGAAG